GCGGCUCCUCCCGGGGCCGGUUCCCGCUGUCUCAGCCGCGGCGCAGAGGGCACAUCGGCCUGACCGACUAGCCGGCUGCCAGUGCCGGGAGCCGCCGCGUCCAUCCCCGCCCGCCUGGCCGGGGACCCAGGACUGAGUCGUCCAGCUGCGCCCCUCGCCCAUAGCCCCAGCGGGCGCCGGGCGGGCGAGCAGCUCUUCGGCCCUUCCCGGACAGCGACGCAGUCGCAGCGCGCGCCCUAACACAGGUAAGGGCCGCUCCUCCCGCCAGCCCGGUGGGAGCAGGGAGCGGGGAGUUGGGAACCUUUUUCCCGGCCUCCGCAGUCCCGUGGGAUCCGCGCCGCCUCCGACCUCGGCUAGGGGGCCGGGCUUCCCUGGGGACUGGCCGGCCCGCGGCGGGCUCCCGGGCUGGGGUCGCCCCCUGCCUGCGGCGUUCUCAGACAUCCCGUCUGAUUUCUAACGCUCACCCUUCCACCGCGCUGGGGAAAAGAUGUGGGAAGAUAAAUGAAGGGGUCUAGAUGUAAAUGUCAGUGGAAAGGAGAGCUACCAUCACUAAGGGCUGAAAACACAGUUAAAUCACUUUCAAAGUUAAAAGACUAUUAAGAACACAAGAUGGGGACUCCUGCUUCUGGAAGGAAAAGAACACCUGUGAAAGACCGAUUUUCUGCAGAAGAUGAAGCUUUGAGUAACAUUGCCAGAGAGGCAGAGGCAAGGCUGGCAGCAAAACGGGCUGCCCGGGCAGAAGCAAGAGAUAUACGCAUGAGAGAACUGGAACGACAACAAAAAGAGUUGGAUGAAAAAUCUGACAAACAGUAUGCUGAAAAUUAUACAAGACCUUCAUCUCGAAAUUCUGCCUCAGCAACAACCCCUCUAAGUGGAAACUCAUCCAGACGAGGAAGUGGGGACACCAGCAGCUUAAUAGAUCCAGACACUUCAUUAAGUGAAUUGCGGGAAUCUUUGUCUGAAGUGGAAGAAAAAUACAAGAAAGCCAUGGUUUCCAAUGCACAGUUAGACAAUGAGAAGAACAAUUUGAUCUACCAAGUAGACACACUCAAGGAUGUUAUUGAAGAGCAGGAGGAACAGAUGGCAG
rnacentral:lncRNA from 1 species